GUUAGGACUCUAGCUAGAAGAGUCCUAAUUGAGAGGGACAUUCAUGUAAAACUGUUAGGACUUUAGCUAGGAGAAUCCUAAUUGAGAGAGACAUUCUGUUAGGACUCUAGCUAGGAGAGUCCUAAUUGAGAGGGACAUUAUGUUAGGACUCUAGUUAGGAGAGUCCUAAUUGAGAGGGACAUUCAUGUAUGAGGUUUUUUCUUAGAGAAGAAUUAGGAGUUGUAAGGGAAUAGGAGUCUUGAGUAGGAGUCCUAUUAGGAGUUGGUUAGAAGUAAGAGUCUUAAGUAGGAGUCCUAUUAGGAGUUAGGGUUUAGAAGCCCUAUAAAUAGCCAUGUAUUCCUUCUCUUUUCUCAAGCAAUAGAUGAAUCUUUUCUGCAGCCUUUGAGCAGCAACUUGGAGGGAGGAACCCCUAUAGAGUUCCAAGGAGGCCGAUCCCCUAAAGAGAUCAACCCCAAAUUUAGAAUCUAUAAGGGUUCUAACACCUGGUAUCAGAGCAGCGUUCUUGGUGUCUCGCUGCCCUUCCACAGCCAUCCAUCAACCCUCCACAACCACCCAAAGCAAUUCUCACAAUUGCUUAAAAGAUCGUCGCCGAAUUUCGCCAUCAUCUCCACCACCGCGGAUCAUCCUUUGAUCUCCCC
rnacentral:lncRNA from 1 species